rnacentral:tRNA from 2 species
GCGGAUGUGGCGAAACAGUAUACGCGCCGGAGCGAGAAUCCGGUGAGCGCAAGCUCGUGAGGGUGCGACUCCCUCUGUCCGCACCA